rnacentral:lncRNA from 12 species
AUGCUGAGGUUUGCCAUUCCAGUGCUUCUCCUGCUUCUCGUAUUUGGGGUUUUCUCUGUUUUGACGAGGACCAUAUGCAGGGAAUAUUUCUUCCCCUUCGUCGCCAAUCCGAGGUACAGUCUGAUCGGACGCUGGCUGCUCGACCCACACCUGCAGGGCAACGGCUCGAUCUGCACGCUGAAGCUGGACCGUGUGUUCCUACCGGAGAAGAGCGUCAUACAGCUGGAGCGCCGCGUGUCUUUAUCUGAUCACGAGGACGUGCUUCCACUGAAGAUCUGUGCGAGCGCUGGACGAACAGCUGUGGAAGACGCUCUCGCUCCGUCCGGUCUGCCCGAGUACGUAGAUUUACCCUUAUUACCUGAGAGCUCGGGUUAUGUCCAGACUGGAUGAGAGAACCUCAGACCGAAAUCUGCACUGAUCUCAUGAGAAAGAUAGAGAUGCGGUGUUUACAGCCUCAGAACGACUCGCCUGCGGUUUCUGAAUUCAUUAAAAAAAAUGCAUAUUUUUUAGUAAGGGACUGAAACUUUGAAAACGCUUUGAGAGCAUCAAAAUACACUUUUUCGGAUUUUUUACGUGUUUUUUAAGAGAUAUAACACUUUUAUGUUCAGCUCAUUUUUGACUCGGGUAUGUAUGGAAAACCAUUAGGUGUUAAAAUUACUUUUUGUAAAAUUGUCUAUGACAUGAUAUUGUUAAAUAUAUUUCUCCUUUUGCCCAUAUCUCCCACACUUUUGUUGUUAAACAUGAAGAUUUACGUCUGUUUACUAACCAUCACUGCUUGAAAAAGUAAUCAGUUUCAUGAAAAGUUGAUGAAAGUUAAAUAAAUAUAUUUUCUUUGAAAACAUUUCAGAGUUAUAUUUAUGUUGUUUUGUUAGAAAUAAAUAUGUAGAUUUCAUAAAUUUGGACUGUUUUUUUUUUUUUUUAGCAAUCAUGAGUUAUAAAUCCAAAAGAAUUUAUUUAAAUUUCAUUAAUUCCAAUGUGUUAAUACUGGGAAUUCUCAAAUUAUAUGUUCAUACAAAUUUCAUACAAUUAUAUUCAAAUAAACUUUUUUUUUCAGUCAAUAUUUUGCAUCACAGUAUUUAAUUUUUUUAAAUUUAAUUCAAUUCAAUUCAAUUCAAUUCAAUUUUAUUUUAUUUUAUUUUAUUUUAUUUUAUUUUAUUUGUGGUUUUUGUGUAAUUUGAAAUAUCAAAGAAUUUCUAUUUUUUUUUUAUUAAUUAAAAAAAGGGUAAAUGCAGUGAUAAUAUGGUAACAUUCAAAACUUGUCAUUUUUUUCACGUUCACUCAUUAAUAAAAAGUUGAAAAUACGGCUUAAGUUGAAAAAUGUUAUUACUGUUUUAUAAAAUAAUUAUUUGGGUCCAAACGGACACGGAAUGGAAAAAUAAUAAUAAAAUUUUGAAUGCAUAAUGAAGGUUAAAAUAAGAAAAAAACAACUACAAAAAAAGAUUUGUCUUAUUUUAAUGCAUUUUUUUUCUCCAUAAUUGCCGAUAGCCUUGAGAAACCUGGAUAUCUGAGGAAGACUCAUUUCAAAAGUGUGAUUUCUUAACCUCAAAAAGUAAAUCUAAACAACUCUAUUAGCAUUUUAUGUUGAAUAUGGAUUAGUCGCCAAGCUAAUCUUUUAUCAGGUAGAAAUUGUUAGUAAAAUAUCCUUCAGUGAAUUCAAAGAACCAGAAAAGUCAAAGUCAAGAACAAAAGAUUGAGAAGCGCUGCUGUAAAGGACUGUAGGAAGAUAAUUUCAGGCUGUUAAUAAUGAAAAUGUUGACAAAAACAUGAGGAAAUAUGCCAUGUUGUAUUUCACAGUUAGAGUAUUGUGUAAUAUCUCUGUCACUGUGUUUCCUGUUUGCAACAGUCUAAAUCAUGUAUCAGCAGAAACUAAUGAAAAAUAAAACUAAAAUCAUAAAAAAAUCACUAUAAUCACUGUAAUCACUAUGAUAUAUGAAUCUGGAACAGGACUGUAAAAUAAAAUGCUGGUUGAGAUAUAUGUGUGUGUGUGUGUGUGUGUGUGUGUGUGUGUGUGUGUGUGUGUGUGUGUGUGUGUGUGUGUGUGUGUGUGUGUGUGUGGGUGUGUGUGUGUGUGUGUGUGUGUGUGUGUGUGUGUGUGUGUGGGUGUGGGUGUGGUUAGAAUCAGCAUGAAUCUGAAAUUAUUGUGAAAACAAUUACAUUCAUUCCUUUAAAAAGUAGAAAGAUAUAUAUGACUAGUAAAAAUAUGAUAAGCUGUGGAUUGGAACAAGCAGUCUUCAGUUAGUUAAACUGUAAAAGAUUAAAACAAAUUAGACUGAUUGCUGAUAAAUAUAUAAAGCUGGCUAUUGUGUAUUUAAAACACAUUCAGUUUAUUAGCACUAUUACAGAAAUCUGACUUAUUUAAUUUCUCUAUGAAACUUAGUUUAUGUUAAAACUGUUUAAUCGACGUGGAUGAAAAUUUUAUAUGAACAUCAAAUACAUAAAUCUUCUAUUUAGGCCUUAUUAUUAUUAUAUUUAUUAUCUUGAGUGCAGGAAA